CAGUCGCCGCGGUAAUACGGAGGGUGCAAGCGUUAAUCGGAAUUACUGGGCGUAAAGCGCACGCAGGCGGUUUGUUGAGUCAGAUGUGAAAUCCCCGAGCUUAACUUGGGAACUGCAUUUGAAACUGGCAAGCUAGAGUCUUGUAGAGGGGGGUAGAAUUCCAGGUGUAGCGGUGAAAUGCGUAGAGAUCUGGAGGAAUACCGGUGGCGAAGGCGGCCCCCUGGACAAAGACUGACGCUCAGGUGCGAAAGCGUGGGGAGCAAACAGGAUUAGAUACCCGUGUAGUCCCUGUCUCUUAUAC
rnacentral:rRNA from 1 species